UUUUUUUUUUUUUGACCUUUUCGAUCCAUACCCCCACCCUAGACUAGAAGGUAGUAUUUUGGUUGCCCUUAUUUCUGAUGGAAUAAUGACUUAUUCUUAUUUAUUUUUCAAACACUAGAUAUAUUCCUGAUGGGCCCAUAGAUUUACAUAUUCCGAUCAAUAAGAAUUAAUUAUGCAUUAAUUAUACAUUAUUUCUAUCUAUCUUGAAUAAACUAUUCCAUAUUGGAUCAUGAAAUAGUUUAUUCUAGAUUUUUAAUGAAAAAUAAUUGUAGUUUAUUUUAAGUUAGAAAAUAACACUACUUUGUUUUCGAUGGACUUCACAGAUUUUUAAUUAAAUAUUAAUUUAAAGAAUAGUUAUUUUAAAAAAAAUUAUAUUUUUAUUUAAAAAAUAUCAAAAGAACUAUCAAAUAUUAUUGAAAAGAAUUAAGCUACUCCAAUAUAGCAAAAACAUAAAGCCCUCGUACUUCAUGCCAGAGCCUUACCGUAGGUAUACUUUCGUCUGAUUCUUUUGGAAGGUCAAAUCGCAAUUUAUUAGAAGAUAGCUGCGGGCCUCUUGUUGCUUUAACCUUCAUGUGGACCUCUAUUAAACUGACCGAUGGACUUGUCCAAUUCAACAAUUAAUAUAAAAUUUUAUUAUAAAAUUUUAAAAAUAUUUUAAUUAUUUUAUUAUUUAUUUAUUUUUAAUUAUUGUAUAAUUAUUCGGAUUUUAACCAAUUGAAAUGCUAAUAUAUAUGAUUAAUAUAAUAAAUAUUUUAC
rnacentral:lncRNA from 1 species